rnacentral:rRNA from 1 species
CAGUAGCCGCGGGAAUACAGAGGGUGCGAGCGUUAAUCGGAUUUACUGGGCGUAAAGCGUGCGUAGGCGGCUUCUUAAGUCGGAUGUGAAAUUCCUGAGCUUAACUUAGGAAUUGCAUUCGAUACUGGGAAGCUAGAGUAUGUGAGAGGAUGGUAGAAUUCCAGGUGUAGCGGUGAAAUGCGUAGAGAUCUGGAGGAAUACCGAUGGCGAAGGCAGCCAUCUGGCCUAAUACUGACGCUGAGGUACGAAAGCAUGGGGAGCAAACAGGAUUAGAUACCCCCGUAGUCCCUGUCUCUUAUAC